rnacentral:rRNA from 1 species
UACGUAGGGAGCAAGCGUUGUUCGGAUUUACUGGGCGUAAAGGGCGCGUAGGCGGCAAAUUAAGUCAGCUGUGAAAUCUCCGAGCUUAACUCGGAACGGUCAGCUGAUACUGAUCUGCUAGAGUGCGGAAGGGGCAAUCGGAAUUCUUGGUGUAGCGGUGAAAUGCGUAGAUAUCAAGAGGAACACCUGCGGCGAAGGCGGGUUGCUGGGCCGACACUGACGCUGAAGCGCGAAAGCCAGGGGAGCGGACGGG